rnacentral:misc_RNA from 1 species
AGAAAACCAAGCAAGGUAAGUUUUUCAUUUUUUGACCUGGGAAUUUUAAGUGAUAUUAGUGUAAGCAAGAGGUUCGAGGCUUUUAUGCUUUUAUUUUGCCUUGUGAAGGUUGUCUUCCCUUAGUGUUUGUUUUUUUAAAGUUUUGUUUGGUUGCCGAGAAAGUACGAUAGAAGAAGUGAAAUUGAAGUUGAGUUUCUUUUUAUUUGUUAUAGAAACCACUAUACCUAAUUGACCAUUAUGGAAUUGUUUGGAUUAGUUGAUUUUUUCUGUAAUUGAGGCAUGCUUAUGGAGUUUGUUGUCAACGACAACAAGGUUUUAUUCAGAUUUUUUUAGUUCUCAAAAUGAAACUCGAAUGGAUUUUGAAGUAACUGUUUCUUUGGUUGUUUCUGUAUCUGCUUAUCUUGUUCUUUUCAGUUUAUUUGUUUUUAUACUUUGAGAUGUAAACUGCAUCAUUAUCUUAUAUUUUGCAUACAAAAUUGCAGAUGAGAAGUAAAAUUUGUGAAAUGUAAAAGAAAGAAACACAAAAUUUAAACUUUCCCAUCUUAGUUUCUCAACAAAUGUCAAUUUCGCCUGGGAAGUUGCUCUGCCAUAGUUGCUUUAGGUGGUUAUUUCUUUUAUUGGAAAUCCAACAUAUAAAAAGCUAGGUUUUGAAAAUUAUUAUUCUUCUCUAGUUGAAACAAAGUAGUAUAUUUGUAUUUGAUGGGCUUCUUGCUCUAAACACUGAUAUUCAAUAGCACUUUCCAUUUGAGCAUUUGAGGGUUAGUUGUUUAUCCAUGUCUGUGAAAGUUGUUG